AUGAACGCUAGCGGCAGGCUUAACACAUGCAAGUCGAGGGGCAACACGGGUAGCAAUACCUGGUGGCGACCGGCGCAAGGGUGCGUAACGCGUGAGCAACAUGCCCUAUACAGGGGGAUAAUCCAGGGAAACUUGGUCUAAUAUCCCAUAGUAUUUAGAGGUGGCAUCACCACUAAAUUAAAGCUUCGGUGGUAUAGGAUUGGCUCGCGUGACAUUAGCUGGAUGGUGGGGUAACGGCUCACCAAGGCGACGAUGUCUAGGGGUUCUGAGAGGAAGGUCCCCCACACUGGAACUGAGACACGGUCCAGACUCCUACGGGAGGCAGCAGUGAGGAAUAUUGGACAAUGGUCGGAAGACUGAUCCAGCCAUGCCGCGUGAAGGUUACUGUCCUAUGGAUAUUAAACUUCUUUUGUAUGAGAGCAAUAAGGUGCACGUGUGCACCGAUGAGAGUAUCAUACGAAUAAGCAUCGGCUAACUCCGUG
rnacentral:rRNA from 1 species